rnacentral:rRNA from 1 species
GAUGAACGCUAGCGGCAGGCUUAAUACAUGCAAGUCGAACGGUAAGUUUGGUAGCAAUAUCAAACCAAGAGUGACGUACGGGUGCGUAACACGUAUGCAACCUACCUUGUACAGGAGUAUAGCUCGGGGAAACUCGAAUUAACCCUCCAUGAGAUCAUAGAAUGGCAUCAUUUAGUGAUUAAAACUCAGGUGGUACAAGAUGGGCAUGCGUCUGAUUAGAGUUGGCGGGGUAAUGGCCCACCAAGACGAUGAUCAGUAGGGGACCUGAGAGGGUGAUCCCCCACACUGGCACUGAGAUACGGGCCAGACUCCUACGGGAGGCAGCAGUAGGGAAUAUUGGUCAAUGGGUGAGAGCCUGAACCAGCCAUGCCGCGUGC